UGGUGGUUACGAAACAUCUCCCUUGAUUGGUAAGUUCUGUUCUAAUCAGAGGCCUCCAGUCCUGGUAUCCCAUAGCAACCGUCUUUGGGUUAGAUUCCGCUCUGAUUCCAGCGUCACGCGUCGCGGAUUCACUGCCCACUGGGAUGGCUCACAGACUGGCUGUGGAGGGACGUUGACAACUGCAUCUGGGGGAUUUUCGUCCCCUAACUACCCCCUGCCCUACCACCCUAAUUCUGAGUGCUACUGGAACAUCAGGACCAGCCAGGGCAGCCAGCUCCUCCUCUCUUUCUCCGAUUUCCACCUGGAGUCCAGUGCCUCCUGCUCUUAUGAUUACCUGGCUGUGUAUGAUGGGAACAGCAGCAGUGCUCCAGAGCUAGCCAGACUGUGUGGCAGUCAGCCGCCCAGCACUUUCAGCGCUUCCAGCAAUCAACUCUACGUCAAACUACGCACU